UCUUUAUUUUAUUUAUUAUUUAUUAUUUUUGUAGGAUAUUAGUGCUGGCAGGCAAUGGACAAGUUUUUGAGAGAUGUUAGCGGCAAUGAUCGCAAAUCAACAGUGGAAAUUGACGAAGGAGAAACACCCGU